rnacentral:rRNA from 1 species
AGAGUUUGAUUAUGGCUCAGAACGAACGCUUGCUGCAUGCUUUAUACAUGCAAGUCGAACGGAGGCCCUAGCUUGCUAGGUGUCCUUAGUGGCGCACGGGUGAGUAACACGUGGGAACAUACCUCAUAGUACGGAAUAACUGCGGGAAACUGUAGCUAAUACCGUAUAUUCCAGUAAUGGGAAAGAUUUAUCGCUAUGAGAUUGGCCCGCGCAAGAUUAGCUUGUUGGUGAGGUAAUGGCUCACCAAGGCUCCGAUCUUUAGCUGGUUUGAGAGGACGAUCAGCCACACUGGGACUGAGACACGGCCCAGACUCCUACGGGAGGCAGCAGUAGGGAAUAUUGGACAAUGGGGGAAACCCUGAUCCAGCAAUGCAGCGUGAGUGACGAAGGCCUUAGGGUUGUAAAACUCUUUCAUCGGUGAGGAUAAUGACAGUAGCCGAAGAAGAAGGACCGGCUAAUUCCGUGCCAGCAGCCGCGGUAAUACGGAAGGUCCUAGCGUUGUUCGGAAUUACUGGGCGUAAAGCGCAUGUAGGCGGAACAAAAAGUUAGAAGUGAAAUCCCUGGGCUCAACCUAGGAAUUGCUUUUAAAACUUUUGUUCUGGAAUUCAGGAGAGGAAAAUGGAAUUUCCAGUGUAGAGGUGAAAUUCGUAGAUAUUGGAAGGAACACCAGUGGCGAAGGCGAUUUUCUGGACUGAUAUUGACGCUGAGAUGCGAAGGCAUGGGUAGCAAACGGGAUUAGAUACCCCGGUAGUCCAUGCAGUAAACGAUGGGUGCUAGUCGUCGGACUUUUGUUCGGUGUCGUAGCUAACGCGUUAAGCACCCCGCCUGGGGAGUACGGUCGCAAGAUUAAAACUCAAAUAAAUUGACGGGGACCCGCACAAGCAGUGGAGCAUGUGGUUUAAUUCGACGCAACGCGAAGAACCUUACCAGCGUUUGACAUGGAAAGUGCCGGUUACAGAAUGGUAACCUUCAGUUCGGCUGGCUUUCGCACAGGUGCUGCAUGGCUGUCGUCAGCUCGUGUCGUGAGAUGUUGGGUUAA